ensembl:snRNA U2 U2 spliceosomal RNA
AUUGCUUCUCGGCCUUUUGGCAAAGAUUAAGUGUAGUAUCAAGUGUACACAAAGUCCAAAUUCAAAUGAUACAAUCUGUUUUGGAGAAUAUUGACAUUUAUUUAUUUAUGAGAUAGGGUCUGGCUCUGUCACCCAGGCUUGAGUGCAGUGGCACGAUCUUGGCUCACAGUAACCUCU